CAAGAAGAGACCAAAUCAAGACCCAAGAUUUUUGAAGAUAUUGUUGAGAGUAUGAAAAGUCUUAUUAUAGUAGGAGGAAGAAAGGGUGAGGAAGAUGGUGGUCAUGGUGGCAAACCAGCAAGAAAUGACAAUUCUAACUAGUAGAGUUAGCCAACUCUUGAAUUUGAUUCGGAGAAUUGUUAUAGAAAAAGAAAAGAAAAGGGGAUCAGUUGUUUCCUGUGCAGGUGUUCAAACUAACUUGCAGUAGCUGUCCCAUUGCAAAUCUACUUUUUCUUUUGCCAUUUUCCAGAAGUUAUAUAUAUAUAUAAAGAUGAAAAGAUUGAGAGGAAGAAAUUGCUGAAUUCCAUCGUCUCCAUCUUUCACUUAUUUUAAUUAUUUGCAUAUGUUCUAUCUUUUGUCCUUUUUUUCUGAUAUUUUAGAAAUUCUUUAAAGAAUUCACUUUCCUACGGUAUAUGACAAACAAUCAAUCAGUAUGCUCAAUGAUAAUGUUUUCGCAUUUCUUUAAACCGGCGUUCCUAUUAAAAUAAAUUAAGCCUUUUAUCACCAUUUUCAUAAGAAUUAUUGCAGUAGGAUAAUGGCUAAAAUGGGAAGAAACUAAAAAAGAAAAUGAGACCUUAAUAGUAACCAAACUUUGAUAAUUUGCCUCUCUAAAAUUGAAUUUUGUUUUAGUUAUGAGAAGUGUGAUCAAGUCGAACUAAUACACGAGCUACUCGGAUUUGACUUGAAAAAUAUUUAAAAUUGACUCGAGAUUGAUCGAUCCUUUAAACUCCAACUACUCAAAUAGCUUGAUAAACCAAACUUGAGCUCUAUAAUAAUUUGCUGGAGAGUCUAAU
rnacentral:lncRNA from 1 species